UGAUGUUAGCGGCGGACGGGUGAGUAACACGUGGGUAACCUGCCUGUAAGACUGGGAUAACUCCGGGAAACCGGGGCUAAUACCGGAUGGUUGUUUGAACCGCAUGGUUCAGACAUAAAAGGUGGCUUCGGCUACCACUUACAGAUGGACCCGCGGCGCAUUAGCUAGUUGGUGAGGUAACGGCUCACCAAGGCAACGAUGCGUAGCCGACCUGAGAGGGUGAUCGGCCACACUGGGACUGAGACACGGCCCAGACUCCUACGGGAGGCAGCAGUAGGGAAUCUUCCGCAAUGGACGAAAGUCUGACGGAGCAACGCCGCGUGAGUGAUG
rnacentral:rRNA from 1 species